rnacentral:rRNA from 1 species
UACGGAGGGUGCAAGCGUUGCUCGGAAUCAUUGGGCGUAAAGGGCGCGUAGGCGGGUUCGCAAGUCGAUUGUGAAAGCCCCGGGCUUAACCUGGGAAUUGCAGUCGAUACUGCAGAUCUUGAGUGCUUGAGAGGGUGCUGGAAUUCCUGGUGUAGAAGUGAAAUUCGUAGAUAUCAGGAGGAACACCGGAGGCGAAGGCGGGCACCUGGUGAGACACUGACGCUGAGGCGCGAAAGUGCGGGGAG